rnacentral:rRNA from 1 species
AUUGAACGCUGGCGGCAUGCCUUACACAUGCAAGUCGAACGGCAGCACGGGAGCAAUCCUGGUGGCGAGUGGCGAACGGGUGAGUAAAGUAUCGGAACGUGCCCAGUCGGGGGGGAUAACGUAGCGAAAGUUACGCUAAUACGGCAUACGAUCUAUGGAUGAAAGCGGGGGAUCGCAAGACCUCGCGCGAUUGGAGCGGCCGAUAUCAGGUUAGGUAGUUGGUGGGGUAAAGGCUCACCAAGCCGACGAUCUGUAGCUGGUCUGAGAGGACGACCAGCCACACUGGGACUGAGACACGGCCCAGACUCCUACGGGAGGCAGCAGUGGGGAAUUUUGGACGAUGGGCGAAAGCCUGAUCCAGCCAUGCCGCGUGCAGGAUGAAGGCCUUCGGGUUGUAAACUGCUUUUGUACGGAACGAAAAGGUUUGGCCUAAUAAGCUGAGCUCAUGACGGUACCGUAAGAAUAAGCACCGGCUAACUACGUGCCAGCCGCCGCGGUAA